rnacentral:pre_miRNA from 1 species
AAUGGAAUUGCUAGGUUGUAUGGUAACUCCGUGUUUAAUUGUUUGAGAAAUUGCUAGACCAUUUCCCAAAGCAGCUGUACCAUUUUACAUUCCUGCAAGCAGU